UACGUAGGGGGCUAGCGUUGUCCGGAUUUAUUGGGCGUAAAGAGCGUGUAGGCGGUCAGGUAGGUCGGUUGUGAAAACUGGAGGCUCAACCUUCAGAGGUCGACCGAAACCCCUUGGCUAGAGUCCGGGAGAGGAGAGUGGAAUUCCUGGUGUAGCGGUGAAAUGCGCAGAUAUCAGGAAGAACACCCGUGGCGAAAGCGGCUCUCUGGAACGGUACUGACGCUGAGACGCGAAAGCGUGGGGAGCGAACAGG
rnacentral:rRNA from 1 species